rnacentral:rRNA from 1 species
UACGUAGGGGGCAAGCGUUGUCCGGAAUCAUUGGGCGUAAAGAGCGUGUAGGCGGCCAGAUAAGUCCGCUGUGAAAUCUCGAGGCUCAACUUCGAGCUGUCGGUGGAAACUGUCUGGCUAGAGUCCGGAAGAGGAGAGUGGAAUUCCUGGUGUAGCGGUGAAAUGCGCAGAUAUCAGGAAGAACACCCGUGGCGAAGGCGGCUCUCUGGGACGUGACUGACGCUGAGAAGCGAAAGCAUGGGGAGCGAACAGG